rnacentral:SRP_RNA from 1 species
GCUGGGCUGUGGCAGGUCCCUGUGGUCCCAGCUUCUUGGGAGACUGAGGUGGGAAGAUUGCUUGAGUGCAGGAGUUCUAGGCUGUAGUGAUCUUUGCCAAUCAGAUGUCCGCACUAAGUUUGGCAUCAAUAUGGUGACCUUCUGGGAGUGGGGAACCACCAGGUUGCCUAAGGAGGGGUGAACUGGCCCAGGACAGACACAGAGCAGGUCAUAACUCCUGCUGAUCAGAACAUGUGUGGUCAAAGGGCUGGGCCUGGCAUCAGGCGCUGGGCUGGGCAAUGUGCUGCCCGACCUGA